GGGAUAGAAGCAGCUUAGAGAGAGGCUAGCCCAGCUGGCCAGUCGUCCUGGACUAGGGCCCACUAAGGACCACCUCUCCCAGAGCGUACUCUUCUGGGCAAGGUGUGUGGAUGGUACCAGGAGGCAAAUGAUGGUGGUAUAAUGAUACGAAGUGAGCCUGGCGGGAGGAGCCUGAGCAGCCUGACACUGACCAGAAGGGUCCAACUCACAGGCGCAGAGAUGGAUAAACUGAGGAUCAGAAAAGUUACUAACUUAUCCAGAACCACACAGCUCCUUUGAGGCUGGAGAGAAGACAUGACGCCCAGGCUGUCGUUCCCUGUAAAACUGAGCAAGCCGUCAAGAGAGAAAAGCAGAGGGGAGGAAAGCUGGUGGGACGGUCCCUCCUCCAUAACGUGCCUCAGAGCUCAGAACAAGGGGUUUGCUGCCAGUGGACAUGGCCAUGCUGCCUGCAGCGCAUGCAGGCAGAGAGCAGAGAGCCGGCAGGGAACACUGCCGACCCAGCUGCAGAAGCAAGCCGAGCCUCUUUCCACGGGCUUUUCCUCCAAGCCAGCCUGUUCCACUG
ensembl:lncRNA